rnacentral:rRNA from 1 species
UUGGAGGGCAAGUCUGGUGCCAGCAGCCGCGGUAAUUCCAGCUCCAAUAGCGUAUAUUAAAGUUGUUGCAGUUAAAAAGCUCGUAGUUGAAUUUCGAGACCGGCUUAUUGGUCGUGCUAUUGUACGUACUGGUAUAAUCGGUUUCUCCUUUCUGACGAACUAUAAUGCCAUUAAUUUGGUGUUAUAGGGAAUCAGGACUGUUACUUUGAAAAAAUUAGAGUGUUUAAAGCAGGCUCACGCUUGAAUACAUUAGCAUGGAAUAACGGAAUAGGACGUUUGAUUCUAUUUUGUUGGUUUCUAGGAUCGACGUAAUGAUUAAUAGGGAUAGUUGGGGGCAUUAGUAUUCAAUUGUCAGAGGUGAAAUUCUUGGAUUUAUUGAAGACUAACUACUGCGAAAGCAUUUGCCAAGGAUGUUUUCAUUAAUCAAGAACGAAAGUUAGGGGAUCGAAGACGAUCAGAUACCGUCGUAGUCUUAACCAUAAACUAUGCCGACUAGGGAUCGGAUGAUGUUAAUUUUUUAAUGACUCAUUCGGCGCCUUACGGGAAAC